UGUGAAAAGCCCACUAUUUUC
rnacentral:piRNA from 1 species